rnacentral:rRNA from 1 species
UACGAAGGGGGCUAGCGUUGCUCGGAAUUACUGGGCGUAAAGCGCGCGCAGGCGGCUAUCCAAGUCAGUGGUGAAAGCCCGGAGCUCAACUCCGGAACUGCCAUUGAAACUGUUUAGCUGGAGUAUGAGAGAGGUGAGUGGAAUUCCCAGUGUAGAGGUGAAAUUCGUAGAUAUUGGGAAGAACACCGGUGGCGAAGGCGGCUCACUGGCUCAUUACUGACGCUCAUGCGCGACAGCGGUGGGGAUCAAACAGG